rnacentral:rRNA from 1 species
AUUGAACGCUGGCGGCAUGCUUUACACAUGCAAGUCGAACGGUAACAGGGAGCUUGCUCCGCUGACGAGUGGCGAACGGGUGAGUAAUGCGUCGGAACGUGCCGAGUAGUGGGGGAUAACGCAUCGAAAGGUGUGCUAAUACCGCAUACGAACUGAGGUUGAAAGGGGGGGACCUUCGGGCCUCACGCUAUUCGAGCGGCCGACGUCUGAUUAGCUAGUUGGUGAGGUAAAGGCUCACCAAGGCGACGAUCAGUAGCGGGUCUGAGAGGAUGAUCCGCCACACUGGGACUGAGACACGGCCCAGACUCCUACGGGAGGCAGCAGUGGGGAAUUUUGGACAAUGGGCGCAAGCCUGAUCCAGCCAUGCCGCGUGUCUGAAGAAGGCCUUCGGGUUGUAAAGGACUUUUGUCCGGGAGCAAAUGCUGGUGGCUAACAUCCACCGGAGCUGAGAGUACCGGAAGAAUAAGCACCGGCUAACUACGUGCCAGCCGCCGCGGUAAGAC